AGCAGCUUCAAGUGACAUCCAGCGACAUCAUCUGGUUCCGAGUUCCGACGGCGCUGCUUCUUCUCCGGCUACACUUCUUCUUCUCCGGCUACCCUGCUUCUUCUCCGGCGACCCUUCUUCUUCUCCGGCUACCCUUCUUCUUUCUCCGGUGGCAGUAGUUCUUCCACACUCCAACAGGUUAGCAGUGGAGAGAGUUAGCGGCAAGUCCAGCGUAACCUGAUGCUUCUCCAAGUACCCUCUCAAGUUCAUCGUUCCCACAAAGGUAAGGUAGGGGUGGGGGGAUAAUGCACGGUCCUCCCAACCGCCGGAGUGAUCUCACUCCGGGAGCCGCUACCCGACAUAUGCCACUCCCAAGACUCGAACCUGGUACCUCUGGGAAGAGGUGGGUGUCGGUGGCCAACUGGGCUACCCCAGUUGGUUAAACAAAGGCUGGGCGUUCAGAAAUUGAUGCUGUUUGGAUCUACACUCUCACUUAUGGGCGAUUGUAUCUCCUUUGACAUUACUGUUGAAGAUGAUUGCACUGCUGUUUUGACAACUCAGGCAUCUACUAAGGUGUAUAAAUCGGUGGCCUUGAAGUGCUCUGAGCAAAUUAUGGAGUAGGCAAGCAUAGGCAAUGGUGGCCUUUUGGUUGUCAUUCCAGAUCCAGUGACAUGUUUUUCUACUGCGAAAUACUCCCAAAAGCAAGUGUUGAGAAUCAUGUCUGGCUCGAGCUUGCUGGUUGUUGAUUGGAUCACUAGUGGGCGUCAUGAAAGUGGAGAAAAAUGGGAUUUCAUACUUUAUAAAAGCACCAACCAUAUAUAUAUUAUGGAAACCAAGCCUCUAUUUCUUGAUACGGUACUACUUGAGAACGGAAAUGUUACGAGUAUCGCUGAACGCAUGCAAGAUUACCAAGUAAUUGCAAUGGUUAUUUUGCUGGGGCCUAAGUUGAAGCACAUACAAAACCAAAUUCAAGAAGAUGUGAAGAAGAUAAUGUCAGAGCAACUAUCUAUGGGGGGAAGAACUAAAGCAAUUAAUGGUGAUGGCUAUACAAAGCCACCCCUUGUCGCUUCUUGUAACUCCUUUGGUCCAAAGGGAAUCGGUAGUGUUGUCAGAAUAGCUGCCACAACAACAGAAUCAGUCUACGGGUUUCUUCGUAGUCAAUUGGCUGGUUUGGAACCAUUGAGUGGUUUGUGCCCGUACCACUAGAUCUUGCAAAUUCAUUGUGAUCCAUCUCACACACCCUCUAUAAGUCAACUAUAAUUUCUUUCAUUGUUAUUUGUCUGGAUGUUCAAUAUUAUAAGAUGCAAUUUUAUAAUGGAAACCGAGACACGUGAGAUUAUCAUAUGAAACCUAUUGCAUUAUUGUUGGUGCAUACGU